GGCGUACGGGUGAGUAACACGUGGGUAAUCUACCUCUGGGUGGGGAAUAACCCUGGGAAACCGGGGCUAAUACCGCAUAAAACUGUGAGGUUAAAGGCGCAAGUCGCCUGGAGAGGAGCCCGCGGCUGAUUAGCUAGUUGGUAGGGUAAAGGCCUACCAAGGCUGAGAUCGGUAGCCGGCCUGAGAGGGCACACGGCCACACUGGCACUGAAACACGGGCCAGACUCCUACGGGAGGCAGCAGUGGGGAAUCUUGCACAAUGGGGGAAACCCUGAUGCAGCGACGCCGCGUGAGCGAUGAAGCCCUUCGGGGUGUAAAGCUCUUUCGGCAGGAACGAUAAUGACGGUACCUGAAGAAGAAGCUGCGGCUAACUACGUGCCAGCAGCCGCGGUAAUACGUAGGCAGCGAGCGUUGUUCGGAGUUACUGGGCGUAAAGAGUGCGUAGGCGGUUUCGUAAGUCUGGUGUGAAAUCUCCCGGCUCAACUGGGAGGGUGCGCCGGAAACUGCGGAGCUGGAGUGUGGGAGAGGCAAGCGGAAUUCCUGGUGUAGCGGUGAAAUGCGUAGAUAUCAGGAGGAACACCUGCGGUGUAGACGGCUUGCUGGACCACUACUGACGCUGAAGCACGAAAGCGUGGGGAGCAAACAGGAUUAGAUACCCUGGUAGUCC
rnacentral:rRNA from 1 species